rnacentral:tRNA from 1 species
GUUUUAGUAGUUUAAAUAAAACUUUGGUCUUGUAAGCCAAAAAUAAGAUGUCAAUCUUCUAAAACU